rnacentral:rRNA from 1 species
UGGGGAAUAUUGGGCAAUGGGCGAAAGCCUGACCCAGCAACGCCGCGUGAAGUAUGAAGGCCUCGGGUUGUAAACUUCUUUGAUCAGGGAAGAAACAAAAUACGGUAACUGAAAAACAAGCCACGGCUAACUACGUGCCAGCAGCCGCGGUAAUACGUAGGUGGCGAGCGUUAUCCGGAUUUACUGGGUGUAAAGGGCGUGCAGGCGGGCUGAUAAGUCAGAUGUGAAAUCCCCGAGCUUAACUCGGGAACUGCAUCUGAUACUGUUGGUCUUGAGUGCUGGAGAGGAUAGUGGAAUUCCUAGUGUAGCGGUAAAAUGCGCAGAUAUUAGGAGGAACACCAGUGGCGAAGGCGGCUAUCUGGACAGUAACUGACGCUGAGGCGCGAAAGCGUGGGUAGCAAACAGG